rnacentral:tRNA from 1 species
CGGGGUGACUCGGGCUGGUGCUCGGACGGGACUUCAACUCCCGGGGCAUGGAGACAUGCAGGGGUGCGAUUCCUCCUCUCCG